rnacentral:pre_miRNA from 1 species
GGGGGAAGCAUCCAAAGGGAUCGCAUUGAUCCAUCAUUCCUUCCAUUCUUCCAUGGUGGCCGUCGUCUACAAGCACGGUUGACGACGGAUCAUGCGAUCCUUUUGGAGGCUUCCUC